CGUGAGUCAUGGCAAGCACCACCCCAGUCCACUCCCCGCCACUGCCAUGUCCCGGGGGGCUGCCUGAACCCCCUCACUCAGCUGACUCAGGGAAGAUUCACCAUGCGCAGGGCCAAGUUCUGGUGGCCUGGAGAAGAGUGGCCUGCUCAGCAGCUCCCGGGACAUGUAAAAGGCCCCAGGCCCCUCACCCGCAGUGACCCCCGUCUGAACUUGAUGAGGAUCAGGGGUGUCGGCCUUCCUUCUCACUGCACCAGCCAGCUCAGCAGUAAGAGGACCCUCUGCAAACACAGCGGCCCCAGCGCCCAGAGGGCUCCCUCUGUGGCCACUUCAAACAGAUGCCUCCUGAAUGCCCAACAUGAUGUGUCUAUUAUUAUCUUCGGGGAAACAGCUGACUGCUCGGUUCACAAAAACCAUUAACUUUGCUCUUGAUAAGCGUCUGGCUCUGGUCCUGACCUUCGCAGAUUUCUCAGCUGGGUUCGCUUCCUGCCCUGACUCCUCAACAUAGGUUGUUAUGUCUGGAGCUGCCGGGGCUGUUCAGUCUCCCUAGCCCUCCAGCCUCUGGCCACGGACUGGGAGGCAGUGCCCACCCGGGUUGAGUCUGCCCCCCUGGUGCAGGAGGAGGGCCUGAGGCUGCAGAGAGGCAGAAGAGACGUGAGGGAGGGAGGUGAUGGUGAACGAGCCCCUGUAUCAAGGAAGAAGCCAGUUCUUCCAAGCAGUACCCAGCCCCCAUGCGAGGGGAACUUGUGAAACAGAGACAGACGCCAGAAGGAAGCUUUGGCUCAAAUAAGAAAUGAAGAGUGGUCCCGGACCCAAAACAAGCCACUUCCCCUUCCUGGGCCUCAGUUACCUCAGUGGUAAGAUGAGGGGGUAGGCUAGACGGUUUCCGACAUCCUUUCCAGCUCCAAAAAAGUUCUAUGAUCUAAUAAAUCUGAAAAGUGCAUUUCCUCAUGUUUUCCUUUCAGUGCGUAAUCCCCAUCCAUAUAGAAUAUUCUUGGUUUUAAUGCUGGCUUCCUGAGUCAGGUGCUACAGUUUCUUCCAGUGGAAACAGUAUCACCUCUGCAGUUUAGACUUUCGCAGUGACUUUCCAGGCUGAAAUUAGGAUUCCCCAUCAGGGAGGGGAGAUAAAAUAGACGUCUGGUCUCCCUGUAUCCCUUAAAAGGCAUAUUUUUAAUCAUAAAAUGGAAUGAAAUAAUGAUCCAUGCUACAAUGUGGACAACCUUGAAAACAUUAUGCUAAGA
rnacentral:lncRNA from 1 species